rnacentral:miRNA from 1 species
UGAGGGCAGCACUGUGUCCGGG